rnacentral:lncRNA from 1 species
ACACACUGCAACCCGGUAAACCAAGCUCACUCGCUAGAAGAACACCUCUAGAUGAGAAAAUUUUAAACCCUAAUCGCCCCAAACCCUAGGCGCCGCAGAAAAAAACGUCGUGAUAGUGAGUCUUUCUAUUUUAUUUUUAUUUUUUUUGUUUUAUUCAGUCACAAAUUAUUAAUUUUAGAAGACAAAGAAAAUUUAGAAGAUGGGAUGCCACGUCCUUUGAAUCAGAUUAUGGAGGGACCUUCGGUUAGCUAUCCUAAUUAUGCUUGUUUUGUGGAUGGUUCAUGGAAAGAGGGAGAUAAUUUUGCAGGGAUAGGUUGGUAUUGUACGAUGACGAACGAUGUCCCCAC